UGGGGAAUUUUGGACAAUGGGCGAAAGCCUGAUUCAGCAAUGCCGCGUGUGUGAAGAAGGCCUUCGGGUUGUAAAGCACUUUUGUCCGGAAAGAAAUCCUUGGCUCUAAUACAGUCGGGGGAUGACGGUACCGGAAGAAUAAGCACCGGCUAACUACGUGCCAGCAGCCGCGGUAAUACGUAGGGUGCAAGCGUUAAUCGGAAUUACUGGGCGUAAAGCGUGCGCAGGCGGUUUGCUAAGACCGAUGUGAAAUCCCCGGGCUCAACCUGGGAACUGCAUUGGUGACUGGCAGGCUAGAGUAUGGCAGAGGGGGGUAGAAUUCCACGUGUAGCAGUGAAAUGCGUAGAGAUGUGGAGGAAUACCGAUGGCGAAGGCAGCCCCCUGGGCCAAUACUGACGCUCAUGCACGAAAGCGUGGGGAGCAAACAGGAUUAGAUACCCUGGUAGUCCACGCCCUAAAACGAUGUCAACUAGUUGUUGGGGAUUCAUUUCCUUAGUAACGUAGCUAACGCGUGAAGUUGACCGCCUGGGGAGUACGGUCGCAAAGAUUAAAACUCAAAUGAAUUGACGGGGUCAUAGCUGUUUCCU
rnacentral:rRNA from 1 species